GGUGUAGUUCAUUUGGUAGAAUGCUUGCCUAGCGUGCAUGAAGCCUUUGGUUUGAUUCCUAGCACC
rnacentral:tRNA from 1 species